rnacentral:misc_RNA from 1 species
GGCCUGUUGAGGUGUCUGUGCUGCGUGCAAAAGUUGCUGACUUUGCCAUGUUAUGGUCAGGAUACAAAGUCUUUGCAUGAAGAAUUGGGGAAAGCGAUUGCCAGAAGUGAGGGAACGUGGUCAGGUUCAUCUCAUUCUAGGUCAGCUGCUGAAAAAGUUAUAAUCGCACAAUCAAAAUCCGAGGACUGGGAAAUUGAUAAAAGAUUACUGAAGAUUGGAGAAAGAAUUGCAUCAGGAUCUUGUGGCGAUUUGUAUCGUGGGAUGUAUCUUGGUAUGGAUGUUGCAAUCAAGGUCCUUAGAUCUGAGCAUUUGAAUGACACAUUGGAAGAUGAGUUCGCUCAAGAAAUAGCAAUUUUGAAGCAAGUUCAGCACAGAAAUGUUGUUCGUUUCAUUGGUGCAUGCACAAAUUCGCCUCAUUUGUGUAUAAUUACAGAAUUCAUGCCUGGUGGGAGCUUGUAUGAGUACCUGCAUAAAAACCAUGUUGUAUUGAAGCUCUCGCAAUUGCUAAGCUUUGCAAUUGAUGUCUGCA